UACGAAGGGGGCUAGCGUUGCUCGGAAUUACUGGGCGUAAAGCGCACGUAGGCGGCUUUCUAAGUCGGGGGUGAAAUCCUGGAGCUCAACUCCAGAACUGCCUUCGAUACUGGAAAGCUCGAGUCCGGGAGAGGUGAGUGGAACUGCGAGUGUAGAGGUGAAAUUCGUAGAUAUUCGGAAGAACACCAGUGGCGAAGGCGGCUCACUGGACUGGUAUUGACGCUGAGGUGUGAAAGCGUGGGGAGCAAACAGG
rnacentral:rRNA from 1 species